CUCGUCCACGCCCUCUCUCCACCCACUAGCACGCCCAUUCAUUUGAAAACUCUAUAAAUACCAGCAGAACACCACAUACCUACCGGUUCAAUGUCUGAGGGAACAUUUUCCGGACUAAUGCUUUCACAAUCUGGGACAAUACAGAGCAAGUUAUGGCCAACACCUGACGCUGAAGUCUGGAUCAAUACCACCAAGCCUCCUGAACAAAAGUUCCUGUUACAGACGGUCAUGAUGAGUAGAAGAAGGCAACAUGAUGAAGCAAAACUCCUCCUUCACCACUACGUUGGAGUCUUCCCAUUCAGUCAUCAUCCAAUUUGCUCCAAAUAAUCAAACACAAGCAGACGCUUCUUACAGAUGGCUGUCCUCUAGAAUGAAAAUGCACACCAACCACCGGCAAACAUCAAAAGCUAAUCCAACCUUUGGCUUUGUGUGGAAAGGUCUUCAGAAACCCUGCGACUGAUGCAAUGUUGGUGCCCUAGAAGACAAGUCAGCACAGUUCAGACGAGCCAGCCAGAG